AGUGGGAUAACUGGGUCAAAUGGUGAUUCCAUUCCAAGUUUUCUGAGGAAUGUCCAUAGUGCUUUGCAGAGUGAUUGCACCAAUUUGCAUUCCUACCAGCAGU
rnacentral:pre_miRNA from 1 species